rnacentral:rRNA from 1 species
CCAGACUCCUACGGGAGGCAGCAGUGAGGAAUAUUGGUCAAUGGGCGCGAGCCUGAACCAGCCAAGUCGCGUGAGGGAAGACGGCCCUACGGGUUGUAAACCUCUUUUGCCGGGGAGCAACGGGCGCCACGUGUGGCGCCACUGAGAGUACCCGGAGAAAAGGCAUCGGCUAACUCCGUGCCAGCAGCCGCGGUAAUACGGAGGAUGCGAGCGUUAUCCGGAUUUAUUGGGUUUAAAGGGUGCGUAGGCGGGGCGUAAAGUGGGUGGUAAAAUUGGGGGGCCCACCCCCUUCCCGCCAUUGAAACUGGCGCUCUUGAGUGGAAGAGAAGUAUGCGGAAUGCGUGGUGUAGCGGUGAAAUGCAUAGAUAUCACGCAGAACCCCGAUUGCGAAGGCAGCAUGCCGGCUUCCGACUGACGCUGAAGCACGAAAGCGUGGGGAUCGAACAGGAUUAGAUACCCGUGUACA